AUGGCCAGUACAUUUGUCAAUUAUUAUCAGAAGAAUACUGGUGCCUUUCAGAACAAAACCAGCAGCAACACUGUGACUGUGCAACAGAAUACUCCAGCAAAACAAAUAGAGAAUAACUCCAACACAUUCACAAAACUACGCAAAGUGGGGGAAUGUUGGAGAUGUGGAGACAAAUGGACACAUGGUCAUAGGUGCAAGUUAAUUCCCAAUGUUCACUUGUUACAACCAGAGAGUAUGGAGCAAGAGGUGUUGGAAGAAGAAGUGUUGCAGCAGGAACAGGAAGAAAUUCCAGAAGAAGGGGACCAGGCAAUGUUCAUUACUGCUCAUGCAUUGGGCCAGCAGAUAGCAAUACCUACACCAACUGUAGUUGUUCACAUAAAUGGCAAAAGAGCAACUGCUUUACUGGAUUCAGGCAGCAGUGCUUCAUUUAUAAGUCAAGAAUUUGCUGUGAAAGCUAAUUGUCACUUACUGCCAGUGAAACCCGGACUUAUUGCAGUAGCUGGAGGUGGCAAAUUAACUUCCAAAGCUGUGGUGCCCAACUGUAAAUUCCAGCUGGCCAAACACUCAUUGCAGUAUAAUUUUAGAGUGUUACCUUUGCCUGGAUAUGAUAUAAUCCUGGGAUAUGACUGGUUUACCCUAAUGAGCCCAGCAACUUUUAAUAUACCAGAUAACACUUUCAGUUUUUUGCUGCAAGGGAAAACAACAGUUACUGCAGCAAUCUUUAACACACCAGAAAAGGUUCAGGAAGUACCAGCUGAGAAGAUGAGCAAAUUACUGGAAAAAGGAGCUGAGGCCUUCUUACUGCAGGUGCAUAACAUCAUUCUACAAGCUCCUGUGGGUUUUCAAACUCCCCCUCAAGUGUAG
rnacentral:rRNA from 1 species